rnacentral:rRNA from 1 species
GCGCUGCAUUAGCUAGUUGGUAAGGUAACGGCUUACCAAGGCAACGAUGCAUAGCCGACCUGAGAGGGUGAUCGGCCACACUGGAACUGAGACACGGUCCAGACUCCUACGGGAGGCAGCAGUAGGGAAUCUUCCGCAAUGGGCGAAAGCCUGACGGAGCAACGCCGCGUGAGUGAUGAAGGUCUUCGGAUCGUAAAACUCUGUUAUUAGGGAAGAACAUAUGUGUAAGUAACUGUGCACAUCUUGACGGUACCUAAUCAGAAAGCCACGGCUAACUACGUGCCAGCAGCCGCGGUAAUACGUAGGUGGCAAGCGUUAUCCGGAAUUAUUGGGCGUAAAGCGCGCGUAGGCGGUUUUUUAAGUCUGAUGUGAAAGCCCACGGCUCAACCGUGGAGGGUCAUUGGAAACUGGAAAACUUGAGUGCAGAAGAGGAAAGUGGAAUUCCAUGUGUAGCGGUGAAAUGCGCAGAGAUAUGGAGGAACACCAGUGGCGAAGGCGACUUUCUGGUCUGUAACUGACGCUGAUGUGCGAAAGCGUGGGGAUCAAACAGGAUUAGAUACCCUGGUAGUCCACGCCGUAAACGAUGAGUGCUAAGUGUUAGGGGGUUUCCGCCCCUUAGUGCUGCAGCUAACGCAUUAAGCACUCCGCCUGGGGAGUACGACCGCAAGGUUGAAACUCAAAGGAAUUGACGGGGACCCGCACAAGCGGUGGAGCAUGUGGUUUAAUUCGAAGCAACGCGAAGAACCUUACCAAAUCUUGACAUCCUUUGACAACUCUAGAGAUAGAGCCUUCCCCUUCGGGGGACAAAGUGACAGGUGGUGCAUGGUUGUCGUCAGCUCGUGUCGUGAGAUGUUGGGUUAAGUCCCGCAACGAGCGCAACCCUUAAGCUUAGUUGCCAUCAUUAAGUUGGGCACUCUAAGUUGACUGCCGGUGACAAACCGGAGGAAGGUGGGGAUGACGUCAAAUCAUCAUGCCCCUUAUGAUUUGGGCUACACACGUGCUACAAUGGACAAUACAAAGGGCAGCGAAACCGCGAGGUCAAGCAAAUCCCAUAAAGUUGUUCUCAGUUCGGAUUGUAGUCUGCAACUCGACUACAUGAAGCUGGAAUCGCUAGUAAUCGUAGAUCAGCAUGCUACGGUGAAUACGUUCCCGGGUCUUGUACACACCGCCCGUCACACCACGAGAGUUUGUAACACCCGAAGCCGGUGGAGUAACCUUUUAGGAGCUAGCCGUCGAAGGUGGGACAAAUGAUUGGGGUGAAGUCGUAACAAGGUAGCCGUAUCGGAAGGUGCGGCUGGAUCACCUCCUUU